rnacentral:lncRNA from 1 species
UUCUCAAGGGAGUAUUCUCUUCACAUCAUGCUCCUGAUCAAAACUCUUGGCUUGGUUGUAUACAGCUUCAAAUGCUUGCAUACAUACACUUGAAAAUCCUACCAUCGCCUGAAAGACAUGGGGAAACCCCAUCUGAAGGUUGUUCAAAGUCAUCGCCCUUGUUACACUCACUGACUUUUCAUGCUUAUUCUUCUCCUCCUCUGCCUUUGCUCUCAACAUUUCCACUUUUGCUCGCUUUUGUGCAACAGGGUCCUUGUUCAUUUCAGGCAUGGAAAAAGGGCCAUACUUGCUUUCUAGUGAUCUAAGCUCAGCAGCCCUCUUCUCAAAAUCUUUAAAUGUACAAUCUGCCUUCUUCUUUUGCUUAUACUCAUCUGCUUGCUGAAC